rfam:Clostridium cadaveris strain NLAE-zl-G419 genome assembly, contig: Ga0070261_111
AUAAAGAGCUAGGGGUGCCUUUAGGCUGAGAGAUGAGUUCAUCAUUGACCCUCGUACCUGAACUGGAUAAUGCCAGCGUAGGAAAGCAAAGUGACUUGUAG